rnacentral:rRNA from 1 species
GACGAACGCUGGCGGCGUGCUUAACACAUGCAAGUCGAACGAUGAACCCGGAGCUUGCUCCGGUGGAUUAGUGGCGAACGGGUGAGUAACACGUGAGUAACCUGCCCUUGACUCUGGGAUAACUGCGGGAAACUGUAGCUAAUACCGGAUACGACCCUCGGCGGCAUCGCCAGGGGGUGGAAAGAAUUUCGGUCAAGGAUGGACUCGCGGCCUAUCAGCUAGUUGGUGAGGUAACGGCUCACCAAGGCGCCGACGGGUAGCCGGCCUGAUAGGGUAACCGGCCACACUGGGACGGUGUCACGGCCCAGACUCCUGCGGGAGGCAGGAGUGUGGAAUAUUGCACAAUGGGCGCAAGCCUGAUGCAGCAACGCCGCAUGAGGGAGGCCGGCCUUCGGGUUGUAAACCUCUUUUUGUAGGGAAGAAGCGAAAGUGACGGUACCUGCAGAAAAAGCACCGGCUAACUACGUGCCAGCCGCCGCCGUAA